GACGAACGCUGGCGGCGUGCUUACACAUGCAAGUCGAACGGAAAGGCCCUGCUUUUGUGGGGUGCUCGAGUGGCGAACGGGUGAGUAACGCGUGAGUAACCUGCCCUUGACUUUGGGAUAACUUCAGGAAACUGGGGCUAAUACCGGAUAGGAGCUCCUGCUGCAUGGUGGGGGUUGGAAAGUUUCGGCGGUUGGGGAUGGACUCGCGGCUUAUCAGCUUGUUGGUGGGGUAGUGGCUUACCAAGGCUUUGACGGGUAGCCGGCCUGAGAGGGUGACCGGCCACAUUGGGACUGAGAUACGGCCCAGACUCCUACGGGAGGCAGCAGUGGGGAAUAUUGCACAAUGGGCGGAAGCCUGAUGCAGCAACGCCGCGUGCGGGAUGACGGCCUUCGGGUUGUAAACCGCUUUCGCCUGUGACGAAGCGUGAGUGACGGUAAUGGGUAAAGAAGCACCGGCUAACUACGUGCCAGCAGCCGCGGUGAUACGUAGGGUGCGAGCGUUGUCCGGAUUUAUUGGGCGUAAAGGGCUCGUAGGUGGUUGAUCGCGUCGGAAGUGUAAUCUUGGGGCUUAACCCUGAGCGUGCUUUCGAUACGGGUUGACUUGAGGAAGGUAGGGGAGAAUGGAAUUCCUGGUGGAGCGGUGGAAUGCGCAGAUAUCAGGAGGAACACCAGUGGCGAAGGCGGUUCUCUGGGCCUUUCCUGACGCUGAGGAGCGAAAGCGUGGGGAGCGAACAGGCUUAGAUACCCUGGUAGUCCACGCUGUAAACGGUGGGUACUAGGUGUGGGGUCCAUUCCACGGGUUCCGUGCCGUAGCUAACGCUUUAAGUACCCCGCCUGGGGAGUACGGCCGCAAGGCUAAAACUCAAAGGAAUUGACGGGGCCCCGCACAAGCGGCGGAGCAUGCGGAUUAAUUCGAUGCAACGCGUAGAACCUUACCUGGGUUUGACAUGGAUCGGGAGUGCUCAGAGAUGGGUGUGCCUCUUUUGGGGUCGGUUCACAGGUGGUGCAUGCCUGUCGUCAGCUCGUGUCGUGAGAUGUUGGGUUAAGUCCCGCAACGAGCGCAACCCUUGUUCACUGUUGCCAGCACGUUAUGGUGGGGACUCAGUGGAGACCGCCGGGGUCAACUCGGAGGAAGGUGGGGAUGACGUCAAGUCAUCAUGCCCCUUAUGUCCAGGGCUUCACGCAUGCUACAAUGGCUGGUACAGAGAGUGGCGAGCCUGUGAGGGUGAGCGAAUCUCGGAAAGCCGGUCUCAGUUCGGAUUGGGGUCUGCAACUCGACCUCAUGAAGUCGGAGUCGCUAGUAAUCGCAGAUCAGCAACGCUGCGGUGAAUACGUUCCCGGGGCU
rnacentral:rRNA from 1 species